ensembl:lncRNA
CUGCGAGGCGGGCUGGGCCUGAAGACGUCAGGUGAAGUAAGACUCACGCUAGAAUCUGCAGAACUUGGUCUUGGCACUGGAGAGCAGGACAGUGGCGAGCAGAGGCUGAGAGGCGAGGAGGAAGAUGGUGCAUGAGCCUCUGGAGAUUCAAAGCAGGACCUGGACAGAGCAGAGGGCCCCGCAGCCCUGCCUGGAGGUCCAGAGCUGUUGGGAAUCCGCCUCGGGCCUUGGGCUGCAGCAUGACCCCAAGAACACAGAGCAGGAGGAUGGGGCACCUGCAGGAGCAGGCAGUUAUUCAAAAGUCUUAGUAGCCCAGACGCCGCAGUGAAGGCCAUAGGAAAGUGUGGAUGGACACGCACUCCAUGGAAACCUGGCCUUGAAACGCACCGCGCUUCUCAGGCAGCGUCCACCUCACGCUGACUUCGCGCUUCACCUUGAGGCCUGCGUCUGUUUCUGUUGUAAGGAGGCAUUGCCAUGGAGCCACCGUCAGGGAACGCUGAGAAGAGCCGUUCAACCGAGUCACGACGUCAUUCCCGGAGCCCAGAGCCCGAGUGAGGGAAGCAUGUGGAGCCAGGUCGGGUGGACGGCAUUGGCCGCCAGCAGGAACCAAGCAGGGUGAGAAGCGAGGAGAGGCCAGAGUGGGCAUCCUCGCGAUCCCAGAAGGAUUUCACCGUGGGAGGCUGGGACGACCCCAGGCAAGUCAGGGGCCGUGUUUGCGCCUCGUGCGGAGGUGCCGGAAGCUACGCCUUCUCACAUGUCUCACAGAGAGCCCGGCAGCUGCGGAUCGGCAGUAGUGGGAGCCGUGUCCAUUGCUCUCCGACACGACACGGGCGGCAAGGAAGGAGGAGGAAGAGGGAACUCAGCGAGCGGUCUCGGGCCGGCCGAGGGCACCUGGAGCGUGGCAGGGGGAGCGGAGAGGGGCUGCGGGGCGCUCGCUCGUCUGCAGCUGGCUGGGGAAGACUGCUGAUCCCGGAAGCUUGGCCCGCACCCCACCCGAAGAAAGACUGCUAGGCCGGGAGGAAGGAGGACGAGGACGGUGAUGCUGCCCGGUCCUGCUCUCCCCGAGGUGGUUGGAAGGAGGGGUGAGGUAAGUGCCAGGCUCCGCCGCUCCAGUCAGGGACCUGAGACCGAGGUGUAAUCCCGAGCCAUGGCUGGCUUCGGAACACGGAGUGGGGACCGCAGAGCUGCUCCACAACGCCUCUGCAGCCGAGCCAGCUGUGUCCCAGAGACUCCAGCUCUGCCACGGUCCGCACGCACGCGCCUCCCCGCUCCACUGGCCAGGCAGGCAGUGCGAGUCUGCGCCUCCUCUCAGGGACGUCGCACGGCCUCUCGCCAGGGCCCAGCCCCUCCUCGGCCUUGUCGUGGACUCCCCUCCCCACCCAGGCAGCGUCCCCAUCCGUCCCCGGAGCGGGCCGAGCUUGGGCCUAGACCCAGGUGUCCCUGUGGUUUUGCCAGCGGAACUCCGCGCUCGGCCUGCCUCACAGGAGGGGCACCCAAGGGCAGCGCGUGCCUGGCUCGUCCUCCGUCCUCCGUGGCAGCGCUGCUACUCGGUGUGCUUGGGCUACCACGCUGGCGGGGUUUAGAAAGCCUCUGACUGCCCUCUCCAUGUUGUGCUCCCCGUGGCCCGAGCCCCGGCCACCCUCCCGACGGCCCCGCAUUUCUGUAGAGAACUAAGUGAUUUGAAUGCUUUGGGAUGGCUUCCAACAGGCCUGUUGCUUUGGUUGUGUUUUGGCCAAAGUGGACUGCUCUAAUUACCCACACCAUUUUGGCUGCAGCAGCUUCAAUUUUUCUGUCUCCUCCUUCCUUUAUUUUAAUGAAAUAA